rnacentral:rRNA from 1 species
CGUGUAGGCGGCUUGGUAAGUCGGGUGUGAAAGCCCGGAGCUCAACUCCGGAACUGCACUCGAAACUGCCUCGCUCGAGUCCCGGAGAGGGUGGUGGAAUUCCCGGUGUAGAGGUGAAAUUCGUAGAUAUCGGGAGGAACACCAGUGGCGAAGGCGGCCACCUGGACGGUGACUGACGCUGAGACGCGAAAGCGUGGGGAGCAAACAGGAUUAGAUACCCUGGUAGUCCACGCCGUAAACUUUGGGUGCUAGGCGUCACGGGUAUUGACCCCCGCGGUGCCGCAGCUAACGCGUUAAGCACCCCGCCUGGGGAGUACGGUCGCAAGACUAAA